UUUUUUUUUUUUUUUUUUGAUAAAUAUCUUCAUGAUUAGCUUUGAGAUUUGGCAUUGACUAUCAUGAGAAGAAACUCUGUACGAGUUCAAGGGGCUAGUUGUUCAUGUGAUACAGAUUAUUUUCUUUUUGAAAUGAUAUCAUCUUGAUUCUUGAACUUCUUUCUACUUGAUGCAUCGUAGCAGCCUGUCGUUAGAGUCUAUAUGAGUUUAUUUUGGCAUGUGGACUAGCAAAUACCAUGUUUCUGAACCGAGGCUUUGGAGUAGCAAGGGACAAAGAAAACAUUACCUUGAAUGUAAAUGACAAUGCAAUCAAUUAUCCUAACUUAGGAUAAACCUGUAAGGAUCCAUUUCCAAAUUUCCAAUGUACUGGUCUUACUCUCAUUACCAAACCUAAGACACCAUCUUCAACAUUUGUUUAUAGUGUUAGGUUUGCCUGGAGAGUAAAAUCUCCA
rnacentral:misc_RNA from 1 species